GACAGAGGCCUCAAGCGUUAAUCGGAAUUACUGGGCGUAAAGCGUGCGCAGGCGGUUUUGUAAGUUUGUCGUGAAAGCCCCGGGCUCAACCUGGGAAUUGCGAUGAAGACUGCAAGGCUUUGAAUCUGGCAGAGGGGGGUAGAAUUUCACGUGUAGCAGUGAAAUGCGUAGAGAUGUGGAGGAACACCGAUGGCGAAGGCAGCCCCCUGGGUCAAGAUUGACGCUCAUGCACGAAAGCGUGGGGAGCAAACAGG
rnacentral:rRNA from 1 species